rfam:Triticum aestivum genome assembly, contig: Triticum_aestivum_CS42_TGACv1_scaffold_306621_4AS
CUAGUACUCCCUCCGUCCCAAAAUUCUUGUCUUAGAUUUGUCUAGAUACGGGUGUAUCUAAUACUAAAAUGUGACUUGAUACAUUCGUACUUAGACAAAUCUAAGACAAGAAUUUUGGGACGGAGGGAGUAAUAU